rnacentral:sRNA from 1 species
AGACACAGAUUCCGGUGGUUACACAUUUAUCUCAGGAGUUGGUGUUGGAAUAGUUGUUGGUGCUGUUGCUGUCGUGAUUGUUGUGGCUGCAGUUCUAUGUCGACGGAAAAAGAAGCAGCCAAAGCAUCAAAGCCAUGACGAGUCAAACCACGGAACCAUACUCCAAGUUUAUCGGAGUGUCAAUAAACUGAAUGUAUACAGUCAUUUGAACGAAGAGACCACUGAACCAGAUGUAGUCGAAGCAGAUUUAAGAAAAUCACACGAACUCUGAAAAUUCAGCCAACACAAUUGAUGGGAACAUGUAAAUGUGCACAGCAGUUUUCAAAAUAUCUGAGUCUGGUGUGAAUGUACACUUUGGUUUCUUAUAGUUAUAAUGUUUUUUGUUUGGUGUAAUGCACAAAUUGUAAGACAAAUUUCCUUACGGAUAAUAAAGAUUAUUAUUAUUAUUAUUAUUAUAUUGUCAACUACUACAAUGGACAGUAAUGUUUUGUUCCGUAAUUAUAAGCACAUUUACAUAAGAUAUUACCUUUUUAAAGAAACCAGCAGACGGUUGGUAGUACCAUCGUCUCAUUCUGAGUAUGCAUUUUGAAAUUAACAUUUGUAAAUAAAAUUCUGUAAAUAUUUUACUUUUCGUAUUUGUUAAACAAAACGAUAUGAGUAUAAAAUAAGCAUGCAUUUAUUUUUUAAAAUUUUUUGCUGUGAUUAAAAUAUUUUGUACAGGAA